rnacentral:sRNA from 1 species
AAGACAGAACUGGUGAAGAACGUAUUUUGUUCCCAGAAUAAAUAUAGCAUGGGCAGCAGCAGUACGAGCUUCCACACAUUGCUUCUUUCAUGAGCCGGAUCCUGGUGGACCUUUGCUCAUCUCCCAGUGUUAAAAACAUUCAGAAAACCAGCAAAUCUAACACCAGGAGAA